AAGAAAACCCCAAAAAACUCUAAACAAAAAUAAAAUAAAAGAGCACAUGUCGAAUCUUCAAAAUUCUUCCUCUGCUACCAAACGAUUUCUAGGAUCCCCCAAAACUAAUAGUUUUGGACCUGGAAUUCAAUUCCUAGGGUUUUGAGAAGAAAACCCCAAAAAACUCUAAACAAAAAAGAUUAACAAAGGAUUUCGAAAGCUGUGAUUUGGAAUUCCACGCCAUGGAAUUUGAGGUCUCCAGUUUUUCCAAUCUUUUAUCAGCUUCCUCCGUCGAUUUGGUGGUCGACACGAAGAAUAAAGGAGAAGAAGACAAUGAUCGGGUUCGCCUCAGGAGGAAGACCUUGAAGGCCGUGCUCGAGCAGUGCCAGAGAGCUCUCGAAUUGUUUGGUAAUACUGAUGGUGUUGGAGAAGAUGACAAUGAUGAUAACGAUAAAGGUAGGGGGAAGCUAGCUGUUGAGGAUCAGGACGAGGAUGAGGAGCCCAGCCGCGAUAGUUCAGUGGCUUCGCCUGGGGUUGGAGAAGCCUAUGAGUUGUGUGACCUUCUCAAAUCUAGAGUUGAAUGCCC
rnacentral:misc_RNA from 1 species